UCUAGUAAACGAUAGUUAUAAUAUCCGUCGCGAUUUCGUGCGGUGUCGAAGCCACCAGUUUAUCAACAAAUUAACCGAGUGAUAAUCUCGGUUUUUUUUUCAGUUUUGCAAGAUGGUUAGAAUCUGACACCAGUUCGUGCGUCCAAUAAGAAAACCAUUUUACCGUUCAAAAAUGCCUUGGUGUUUAACGCUUCGCUCAGUGCUACCGGUUCCCCCCAUCCGAUGAGAUCCGGCACCAGCACCGGCGAAGCAAGAAGGUUCAAUCAUCGCAAAACUACCCGAGAACAGAAUCUCGAACAACAAACCCUUCCUAUAACACGACUACGGAAAGUUCCUGCUGCAUGAACCUCAAUACACCGAUGAUGAAGAGAUGCCAAUGCGUCCGGGUUCGAAACUUCCAAGAAGGCUCUGCCCGGGGCCAGCUCCGAGUCGGAAUUCAAUUCGGUUCCGAAACCAGAUGACUUCCGUUAGAUGACAUGGUUCCGGGAGUUCAAAGAAGGCCAGAAUGCUCCGCUCGGCAGGAGUGUCGGAAAUUGGGAACAGCACAUCAAAAAAAUCGGUGCCAAGCAUUGAUUUGCAGUGUAUUGCAGCUCCGAUCCAGGCUCAUCUGAGCUGGUCAACUGUAACAUUUGCGAAUUUCUGAAAUCCUAAGUUCUGAAAGCUGAAACAUGAAAGAUGAAAUUUUAGUGAGUUAGGUUCAGGUUCAGCUUCAGGUUCAACUACCCGAAAGACGACCCGUGAUUAAGGAUGAAAUGACGAAUAUUCCGAUUCCAGCCCUAGUUAGUGGGAAGAAGCGCAACGCAAAGAGCCACGGCACGGCGCUGAAAGUUCGGCAAGUUACCAAUGAAAUGAUAAAGAUCCAAGAAACGGGGCGAUGUAUUUACGUUGCUGUUCCGUGUACAGAAAACUAUGACAAGCUGUUAAAUAGAUAUUUAGAGAACCAUGCCUUAUCUGUUAACGUUCAUUUUCUGUGUUCUCCGAGGAUAGUUUAAAAACAAAUGGGUGACAAAAAAGACCAUCAUCGAAACGCUCACCUCAAAUACCACAGAAAAUUUCAAUUGAGGCUAAGAUGCUGAAGUUAUUCGGUACUACGGUACCAGCCCAUCAAUAGCUCAGGUUCCCCCAAUGUUAAACAUUUCUGAGAUAGAGGUUGGCCUUUGUGGCAGCAAUGUCCGUAACAACCAAUGUGCGAUCUCCCGACCAGUUGGCACAAAACUUCAGUGGCUAAAAUCAUCGUAUAUCAAGAGUUGUUUCAAGAGUCUGUUGUCAUCCUUGGAUGUGGUCCAUUUUUGCUAUCACUUCAAAAAAGCUACCAGCUAUCAUUGCCACUUUCUAUAUUUUAGGGUGGUAAAACAGUCCUCAAAUUUGGAAACUAGGAAAGGAAGCGGUGUUGUUGGAAAAUUGUUUGAUGCCAAGCUGAAUUAGGAACUGAAUAACGCCGAAAGAAAAUGAGUUCGGUCUAAGUUACUAUCUCAACUAUAAAUAUAAAAUUCCAAUAGGAAAAAAUCGAAUUAAACUUAUUUAAAGAAAUUUUUAGAUUUCCUUUUGAUUAUUGAAAUGAAAACCGAGAUGAAAAUCCCAGGUUUCUUGUUUAGCGGCGUCCACCU